AAUGAGCUUAAAGAAUAAUGUAUCUGGGUCCCCCUUUUAUAGGCGGAGGAGGCAACGGAUUGAUGGCGAUGUUUGUAACCGUCUGGUAGUGGGCCGCCCAUGGUCAGGGGAAUUGAUUGCGAAGGAUAGUGGAGUAGACAUGUGGCUAUUGUUACGGCCUGCCACGUAGGGCCAGUUGCAGGUAGUGGAGCGGCGUCCGUUGCCGCUAGCUGUCAGGGAGUAGUGGAGUCGCGCAGCACCUGCCGCAGGGAGUGGAGCAGAAUCGUGGCC
rnacentral:lncRNA from 1 species